CAACCCUCAGGCUAGCCCUGGUGUUGGGGACCUGCACACUGCAGCCCCCGAAAGGCAGCGGCGGACCCGUCCGGCUCCGAGCGUAGUACCAUACGUCGCUCAGGGCGCCCGGGCGGGCUUCCGGCCGGAAAACCCCCUAUUUCUCAA
rnacentral:misc_RNA from 1 species